rnacentral:rRNA from 1 species
UACGUAGGGCGCAAGCGUUAUCCGGAAUUAUUGGGCGUAAAGAGCUCGUAGGCGGUUUGUCGCGUCUGCCGUGAAAGUCCGGGGCUCAACUCCGGAUCUGCGGUGGGUACGGGCAGACUAGAGUGAUGUAGGGGAGACUGGAAUUCCUGGUGUAGCGGUGAAAUGCGCAGAUAUCAGGAGGAACACCGGUGGCGAAGGCGGGUCUCUGGGCCGAAAUUGACGCUGAGGAGCGAAAGCGUGGGGAGCGAACAGG